rnacentral:rRNA from 1 species
AUAGAGUUUGAUCCUGGCUCAGAACGAACGCUGGCGGCAGGCCUAACACAUGCAAGUCGAGCGCAGUCCUUCGGGACCGAGCGGCGGACGGGUUAGUAACGCGUGGGAACAUACCCUUUUCUACGGAAUAGCCUCGGGAAACUGAGAGUAAUACCGUAUAAGCCCUUCGGGGGAAAGAUUUAUCGGGAAAGGAUUGGCCCGCGUUAGAUUAGAUAGUUGGUGGGGUAAUGGCCUACCAAGUCUACGAUCUAUAGCUGGUUUUAGAGGAUGAUCAGCAACACUGGGACUGAGACACGGCCCAGACUCCUACGGGAGGCAGCAGUGGGGAAUCUUAGACAAUGGGCGCAAGCCUGAUCUAGCCAUGCCGCGUGUGUGAUGAAGGUCUUAGGAUCGUAAAGCACUUUCGCCAGGGAUGAUAAUGACAGUACCUGGUAAAGAAACCCCGGCUACUCACGGU